CACUUGUUUUCAUCCCAUACCAAACCCACACGUGUUAGCAUCUAGCAUUUGGAUGUUAACAUGGGUUUGGUAUGGGAUGAAAACAAGUGC